CCGUCAAAUUGCUGAUUGUUUUGUGUCACACGGAAUUCUCACUUCCGGCGAGCGCUGGCAAGUGUCGUUCUGAAAUUUAAUAAGGAAAGAGAUAGGAAAACGCCGUUCGAAAGACGAAAAAUUGUUUUUUUUUAAAAAUCUACGCUACCGACGGCUAUUUUUGGAAUUAAUUCUUCAAGAGUAUCGGUAAGCGAUCACUUUUAUUGAUUUCUUUUUAUUAAAAGUGAUAACAUAACAUUUUAUUUAGCAAAAGUUUGUUUUUUUUCCCUAUCUAUUCCUUAUUAAAAUCGUGAAAUACACUUGCU